GGGACUACAGGUGCCCGCUGCCACGCCCGGCUAAUUUCUUUUUGUAUUUUUAGUAGAGACGGGGUUUCACCGUGUUAACCAGGAUGGUCUCGAUCUCCUGACCUUGUGAUCCGCCCUCCUCGGCCUCCCAAAGUGCUGCAAUGACAGGCGUGAGCUACCACACCCGGCCUCAUUCUUUUUUAUGACUGAAUAAUAUUUAAUUAUAUGGAUAUAGCACAAUUUGUUCACCUGUUCAUCAAUUAUAGGCAUUCUGAUGAUGAUAAAUAGUGCAACUGUGAACAUUUGUGUACAAGUUUCCGUGUGGAUAGAUGUUUUCAAUUCUCCUGGGGCAGAGCCUGGGCGUGGAAUUGCUGGGUAUGUGGUAAGUCUAUGUUUAAGCUUUUGAGGAACUGUCAGACUGUUUCAAAAGUGACUGCGCCAUUUUACAGUCCCAUCAGCAAAGCACACAGAUUCCGGCUCAGGGCUGCCUUUAGACAAGAUGGUGCCUGGGCAGGAUUUGAACUAUAAAACACCUCUCUGGCUGCGGUGGGGACAGUGGCCUUGAAGGGAGCGAGAGUAGUCUUCACGUUGCGGGAGGUCAGCCGGGAAGUACAUGGCUCAGAUACCAAGUGAGGGCCGGGAAGCACGUGGCUCAGAUACCAAGUGGGGGCCAGGUGCGAGUCCCAGGAGGUCAGCCGGAGAGCACGUGGGUCAGACAUGAAGUGGGGGGCUGGGCACACCAGGGCCCCAUGGGAAAGGCAGGUGUUCCUGCUCCCCCAGUGUCCUCCUGGCUCCCUGGGAAGUCCCUGUGUGUUUUCCUUCCUUAACUGUGCUUAUCAGGUGGUCUUUGUUCCAAAGUCAUUCGCAAACAAGACACCAACAGUUUCCCACCACGUGGCUCUACUCCUCACACCCUCCACCCGAUAAGAUGAAAUCUGUAGAAGACAUUGAUCUCCCUUUC
rnacentral:lncRNA from 1 species